rnacentral:rRNA from 1 species
AUGCUGCACGAGAAGCCCAUACCCAUCAUCCAACUGGCCGAUGAUGGAGAUGGGGGAAACAUGGCGUGGACAGGGGAGAAGAGGCGCCGCAAGAACCUGCGCCCAUCAUCUUCCGAUGCUACUGCCACUGCCGAUGACCAUGGAGACAUGGAGGACACCAUCCAAGGGUGCCAAGAUCCGAUUUCUCAUGCGACAGACAUGGAGGGCACCAUCCAAGGGGGCCAAGAUCCGAUUUCUCAUGCGACAGACAUGGAGGGCACCAUCCAAGCGGGCCAAGAUUAUGAUCUGCUGCUGAAAACAGAGCCGGCAAAAGAAGAAAGCGAGCAGUGUUUCGGGCCGUACUUCCUUCUCAGCAAGGAAGACCAGGCCAAGGAUUGUCAAUUUUUGCUUGCCAAUAUUCAGAAGGAGGACGAUUAUCCUACUGACCUGCCACUUUAUUUGACACGUGAGGAACACAGCAAGAUAGAAGCGCGCCUUGCACGCUAUCGCGUCGCUCAUUACAAGGUUGUGAAUCUGGAGUGCGCACGUGAGCUCAAGGAACCAGAAGAAUACACCGAUGAUGAGCUUCUUAACGAGUCGUACUUUGAGGGGUUAGAGGAUGAUGAAAGUUUUGAGUGGUACAUCCAUCCUGAAGACACCUACAACAUUGAAUUGAAUGACUACCAACGGAUUGUCCCUCGUAAUUUUCUGCCUGGUAGAAGUGGAAACCUGUACCGCUAUCACGAUGAGUACCGCUCGCGUUAUCAUACAUAUAAAAUUGAUGAUGUUUAUGUCAAGUACUAUGCAGAAAUUUCAAAGAAAAUCAAGGAGUACAUUACGGAGCUGGAAAUGGAUGCGUCCCUCAAGGACAUAGAUCUCCUCUAUUUUGAGAUCUGGAGGCUUGUCGCUAAAGAAAAUAGAACUUACAAAGAGGCUGUGAAGGAAGUUUAUGAGUCUGGCGUGUUCCCUAUACACAAGGCAGUACUACAUGCUGAACUCAAUGGGGGUCAUAUCUUUGUAACGAUGCAAGAAAUGAUUUACGCUGUUGUCCUGGAGGGUGGCAUUGAACUGACUGACGAAGAGAAGAAAGCUAGGGGUGUGUUUAGGGAGUUAUCUUUCAGCAUGCAUAAACCACUGAACAUGGCUCAGUAUGCUCAGAACAAGGUGGAGAUAGCAAAACAGUUGAAGUUGGACAAUGAGGAUGGAUUUGUUCCUUUUAGACCCUUUGAGUUCUGA